AAAGAGUGAAAAAAAAGAAAAAAAUCAAUAUAGUAACACCAAGCAUAAUAAUAUGAAGAUAAUGAAGCAAUAAAAAGAAUAAUAAAAGAAAAAAAAAGAACAAUACAGUUAGCAGAAUAAUAAGAAUCAAAGAAAAUAAAAAUAGAACAAAAUAAUAAGAUAAGAAAAAGUAGCACAUAACAAAUAAAAAGAAUAAUAAUAAUAAACAAUAAUAAAGAAAGAACAAGGAGAAAAAGGGUAGACCGAAGGCAGUGGCCGGAGUGGGGGUCGCGCGAUAGGGAGAGGAGAAACGACUGCGGGGGUUGCUGGGAAGGUGUUGGUGGCAUAGGGACAAGAGGAAGGGUGGUUGGUCGUGGGGAUUGGAUUGGGGUGGAGGAGAAAAAGAAAGAGGAAAGGGAAGGCACGGGCGUGGGUGUCCGUAGGGUGGGGCGAGGCGUGCGACUGGAGAGGGGCGGUGGUGAACGGCGAUGACCAAAAGGAGGGGCGGUUGGGGUUGAGCGGGGACUAGGGAUUUGAGAAAGAAGACAAAGUAAAGUAAAUAAAAAUAAAAAUAGGUUAAGGUUUUAAAGAGGUGACACGGUCAUGUGGGGCUCGUGUUAGGCCAUACAGCCGUGUCACAGGCCCGUCUGGUUCUAUUUUAGCCCGUG
rnacentral:lncRNA from 1 species